CACGUAGGGCGCAAGCGUUGUCCGGAAUUAUUGGGCGUAAAGAGCUCGUAGGCGGUCUGUUGCGUCCGCUGUGAAAACUCGGGGCUUAACCCCGAGCCUGCAGUGGAUACGGGCAGACUAGAGGUAGGUAGGGGAGAAUGGAAUUCCCGGUGUAGCGGUGAAAUGCGCAGAUAUCAGGAAGAACACCAACGGCGAAGGCAGCUCGCUGGGACGGAACUGACGCUAAGGCGCGAAAGCGUGGGGAGCAAACAGG
rnacentral:rRNA from 1 species